rnacentral:rRNA from 1 species
CUACGGGACGCAGCAGUGAGGAAUAUUGGACAAUGGAGGCAACUCCGAUCCAGCCAUGCCGCGUGCAGGAAGACGGCCCUAUGGGUUGUAAACUGCUUUUAUACAGGAAGAAUGGUACCUACGUGUAGGUAUUUGACGGUACUGUACGAAUAAGGAUCGGCUAACUCCGUGCCAGCAGCCGCGGUAAUACGGAGGAUCCAAGCGUUAUCCGGAAUCAUUGGGUUUAAAGGGUCCGUAGGCGGUUUUUUAAGUCAGAGGUGAAAUCCUGCAGCUCAACUGUAGCAUUGCCUUUGAUACUGAAAGACUUGAGUUAUUGUGAAGUAGUUAGAAUGUGUAGUGUAGCGGUGAAAUGCAUAGAUAUUACACAGAAUACCGAUUGCGAAAGCAGAUUACUAAUAAUAUACUGACGCUCAGGGACGAAAGCGUGGGUAGCGAACAGGAUUAGAUACCCCCGUAGUC